GAUGAAGAACGUAGUGAAAUGCGAUAAGUAAUGUGAAUUGCAGAAUUCAGUGAAUCAUCGAAUCUUUGAACGCACAUUGCGCCCGCUAGUAUUCUGGCGGGCAUGCCUGUCCGAGCGUCAUUUCAACCCUCAAGCCCCCGGGCUUGGUGUUGGGGAUCGGCGAGCCUCCGCGCCCGCCGUCCCCUAAAUCUAGUGGCGGUCUCGCUGUAGCUUCCUCUGCGUAGUAGCACACCUCGCACUGGGAAACAGCGCGGCCACGCCGUUAAAACCCCAACUUCUGAACGUUUGACCUCGGAUCAGGUAGGAAUACCCGCUGAACUUAAGCAUAUCAAUAAGCGGAGGA
rnacentral:misc_RNA from 1 species